rnacentral:rRNA from 1 species
AUUGAACGCUGGCGGAAUGCUUUACACAUGCAAGUCGAGCGGCAGCACGGGGGCAACCCUGGUGGCGAGCGGCGAACGGGUGAGUAAUACAUCGGAACAUGCCCAGUCGUGGGGGAUAACACUUCGAAAGAAGUGCUAAUACCGCAUACGUCCUGAGGGAGAAAGCGGGGGAUCGCAAGACCUCGCGCGAUUGGAGUGGCCGAUGUCAGAUUAGCUAGUUGGUGGGGUAAAGGCCUACCAAGGCAACGAUCUGUAGCUGGUCUGAGAGGAUGAUCAGCCACACUGGGACUGAGACACGGCCCAGACUCCUACGGGAGGCAGCAGUGGGGAAUUUUGGACAAUGGGGGCAACCCUGAUCCAGCCAUUCCGCGUGAGUGAAGAAGGCCUUCGGGUUGUAAUGCUCUUUCGGCAGGAACGAAACGGUGAGCUCUAACAUAGCUCGCUAAUGACGGUACCUGAAGAAGAAGCACCGGCUAACUACGUG